AGAGUUUGAUCCUGGCUCAGGAUGAACGCUCGUGACUUAACAUGCAAGUCGAACGGCAGCGGACCUUCGGGUGCCGGCGAGUGGCGAACGGGUGAGUAAAGUAUCGGAACGUACCUUUCAGUGGGGGAUAACGUAGCGAAAGUUACGCUAAUACCGCAUAUUCUGUGAGCAGGAAAGCAGGGGAUCGCAAGACCUUGCGCUGAUUGAGCGGCCGAUAUCAGAUUAGCUAGUUGGUGAGGUAAAGGCUCACCAAGGCGACGAUCUGUAGCGGGUCUGAGAGGAUGAUCCGCCACACUGGAACUGAGACACGGUCCAGACUCCUACGGGAGGCAGCAGUGGGGAAUUUUGGACAAUGGGGGCAACCCUGAUCCAGCCAUGCCGCGUGAGUGAAGAAGGCCUUCGGGUUGUAAAGCUCUUUCGGCCGGGAAGAAAUCGCGCCAGUUAAUACCUGGUGUGGAUGACGGUACCGGAAUAAGAAGCACCGGCUAACUACGUGCCAGCAGCCGCGGUAAUACGUAGGGUGCGAGCGUUAAUCGGAAUUACUGGGCGUAAAGCGUGCGCAGGCGGUUUUGUAAGACAGGCGUGAAAUCCCCGGGCUCAACCUGGGAACUGCGCUUGUGACUGCAUCACUCGAGUACGGCAGAGGGGGGUGGAAUUCCACGUGUAGCAGUGAAAUGCGUAGAGAUGUGGAGGAACACCGAUGGCGAAGGCAGCCCCCUGGGCCGAUACUGACGCUCAUGCACGAAAGCGUGGGUAGCAAACAGGAUUAGAUACCCUGGUAGUCCACGCCCUAAACGAUGUCAACUAGGUGUUGGGUGGGUAAAACCAUUUAGUACCGUAGCUAACGCGUGAAGUUGACCGCCUGGGGAGUACGGGCCGCAAGGUUAAAACUCAAAGGAAUUGACGGGGACCCGCACAAGCGGUGGAUGAUGUGGAUUAAUUCGAUGCAACGCGAAAA
rnacentral:rRNA from 1 species